rnacentral:rRNA from 1 species
CGAUGUCAGCUUUGCGUUGCCUUCCUUGAGAUUUUUGUGGCGCAUCUAACGCCUUAGCUUGACCGCCUGGAUGACUUGACGCAUCCCCAAACUCCUCUGGUUUGUCGGGGGCCCGCACUUCGGUGACCAUGUGGUUUAAUUCGAACUACGACAAGAACCUUACCUCGCCUUGACAUGUAAACCACUUUCUCAAGAUGGAUUGUUGCCUUCGGGAACUCUGACUGUGUGCUACAUGGCUGUCGUCCGCUCCUGCCCUGAGAUGUUG